UAGAGCUGCGGAAUUGAUUCGGUUUGUGUCGUUCAGCCAGUUAGCCACCAGGCUCGGGCGUCAAGUGAUAUUCAGGAGCCGGGUCUUUUUAUGUACGAUCACCGUUUUCUGCGAUCGUUGUGGGAACGAGAUGAUGGGAUUUAUUUUCACAGAUAUUUCGUUCACGCGAUGUGUGUUGGUGCUGCUGUCGGAUAACGCUAAACCUGCUGGACAUCAAUUUCCUACGCUGUGACAACGAGACAGAGUCGUCGUAGAUUUCGGUCCUCGAGCAAUUCCUCGGCGAAAUAUUCGAAUCAACACGGAUUGGGAACCAGCGAGCCACGAAUUUCUCUUUUCCUUCCGCGAUAUAUCGAUAGGGAAGCGCAAACAGUGUGCACGGCGACCCAGCCGAAGGAACUUCCUAAUCCCUGUGGCCGGCUAACAUUCAAACCCACGGCAGAGCUCACCGAACCGAUAGUUACACCUCCGCGCCGAGAUACAGAUGACAAUGGGGAUGAAUGGAAAAUUUCGACGAGGUGGUAGCAAUAUUUAAACGAUUUCCUCGAUCGACUGCACCGUGGAGCCAGGAUCCACGGGUAGUUUGCAAUCAACGGACCAAUUUCUUACCGGUCAGUUUCCACCCUAGGAGCCAGGAGGGUGGGGGGUUGAAGAGCAGAGAUGAAGGAUCGGCGCUUGCGGUCGUCAAGGUGGAAAACGGGUGGGUGGUACCGGGCACACAC